UUUUUGGUGCUCUAAUUUUGCUGAAUAAAUAAAUAAAUUAUUUGUUUUAUUAAUUUACUUUUAAUGUAUAUAGUGUGGCCUGUAUUUUCAUAUAUGUUUUGUUUGUUUGGCUGUUAUAUUUUAAAUAUUUAUUGUAGGGUCACUUAGCUCAUUUUAAAAUUUGGGUAACAGUAUAAUUAAAAUAUCUUAGGUGAGUUUUGGAACCAACAAAUAGGGGUUAGUGGAUUGAGUGGUUUAUUUAAGGGAGGGGCUCUGGAAAAAUUGGGGGAAUGCAAAGUUUAACGAAAAGAGGAUAAAGUAGUGUGUGUAGUAGGAGAUAGUAAAAAAUCAAAAGAGUAUUUUUGGAGUUUUCUUGGAAGCAAGAACGGUAACGUGAAGGAGGUGAAAGUUUUGGGUUCUCAAUCUUGGGCAAAGAAAGAAAGCUAGGAUUUAUCUAAGGUAAGAGAAGCUGAACUUGUUUUAUGUUUUACGAAUUGCGACUUCACAAAGCAUGGGUGGUUAAUUGUGCAUAUGAUACUGUUUGGAUUAUAUUUGUUUUUGGGUUGUUCCGGGUUCUUUGAUGAAUUUUAUCUGUUGUUAUUGGCUAGGUCGAAGAUAGUCUGACGAAAAAUCGUAUGCUUGUAUUGGUAUAGGACAGAAUUCUACUUUUUCUGUCUUCUUUAACGUUUAAACUGAAUGCAGAAAUAGCUUAAGCAUGCAUGUGAAUUUCGAUUCUAGUCUGGGAAAUUUAAGUUCUUUGGUACAGGAUGAUAGUUAUUAAUGGUACUCUAAUUUUUUUUGGUUGAUCAUAUAUGUUGUUNUCGNGUGCUGUAUUUAACUUACGUUUAGAAGAUUAAAUACAUGCAAGAAGUAAAUAUGCAGUGACUGAUAUUGAGUAGUGUAAUGAAGAUUCUAGUUUAGUUGUGGGUUCAUAUUUAAGACCUGUAUGUACAACAGUUUUGAAUAAGUAACUUUGAAU
rnacentral:lncRNA from 1 species